rnacentral:rRNA from 1 species
UAGGGAAUCUUCCACAAUGGGCGCAAGCCUGAUGGAGCAACACCGCGUGAGUGAAGAAGGGUUUCGGCUCGUAAAGCUCUGUUGUUAAAGAAGAACACGUAUGAGAGUAACUGUUUACCCAGUGACGGUAUUUAACCAGAAGGCCACGGCUAACUACGUGCUAG